GUGAAGUUUUAUUCUUGCUUUUUCAUUCAGUAUUUGUUUGUUUUAUAUGUAAGUUUUUGCGUGAUUAUUGGUCUAAAUUCCUCUAAAUGGGGUUGGUAGUGGGUGUCGUUUAGGAGUUUAUUCUCAUUAUUUGCUAUUGGUUGGUCAAGUGUUCUUGUAUUUAGUAAUUCAUUUUAGUUUCGGUUAAAUUUUGUGCCAGCAACCGCGGUUAUACCUUGGAUUCAUUUGAAUGUGUUUGGUGCUGUAGUUAUAUUUUUAAUUUUUUGAUUUUGUUUAUUUAGUUUUUUAGGUGAAAUUUUUAUUGUUGUUUUAUGUCAUUUAGUUAUUUGGAGGCUAUGAAAUUCCUUUUAUAGACUAGGAUUAGAUACCCUAUUAUUUUGGAGUGUUAAUUUUUGUGCUUGAGUAGUAUUAGUUAUGUUCUUGAAACUUAAAGAAUUUGGCGGUAUCUUAUUCCAUCCAGAGGAAUCUGUCUCGUUAUCGAUAGUCCGCGUUGGACCUUACUUAGUUGCUUUGGUUUGUAUACCGCCGUUUAUUGAUUAUCUUUUUAGAGUUGAUUUAAUUUUCUGGUUUCUUUAUUUUGAUUUAUUUCAGGUCAAGGUGCAGCUUGUUUCUAAGUGGAAUGAUGGAUUACAUUGUUAUUUGUUUAUUGGAUUGUUGAUUUUAAUAUUGAUAUGAAAUUGGAUUUGGUUGUAAUGUUUUGUAGAUUGUUUUCAUGAUAAUUGGUUCUGGGAUAUGUACACAUCGCCCGUCGCUCUCGUUUAUUUGUUAAUGAGAUAAGUCGUAACAAAGUGGUUGUACCGGAAGGUGCAGCUGGAUUGAA
rnacentral:ncRNA from 1 species